UACGUAGGUGGCAAGCGUUGUCCGGAUUUACUGGGCGUAAAGGAUGCGUAGGCGGACAUUUAAGUCAGAUGUGAAAUACCCGAGCUUAACUUGGGUGCUGCAUUUGAAACUGGGUGUCUAGAGUGCAGGAGAGGUAAGUGGAAUUCCUAGUGUAGCGGUGAAAUGCGUAGAGAUUAGGAAGAACACCAGUGGCGAAGGCGGCUUACUGGUCCGGUACUGAUGCUGAGGUGCGAAAGCGUGGGGAGCAAACAGG
rnacentral:rRNA from 1 species